AUUGAACGCUGGCGGCAUGCUUUACACAUGCAAGUCGAACGGCAGCACGGACUUCGGUCUGGUGGCGAGUGGCGAACGGGUGAGUAAUACAUCGGAACGUGGCUAUUAGUGGGGGCUAACGCUGCGAAAGGAGUGCUAAUACCGCAUACGAACUGAAGAGGAGAGAGGGGGAACUUCGGACCUCCAGCUAAUACAGCGGCCGAUAUGCGAUUAGCUAGUUGGUGAGGUAAAGGCUCACCAAGGCGACGAUCCGUAGCUGGUCUUAGAUGACGAUCCGCCACACUGGAACUGAGACACGGUCCAGACUCCUACGGGAGGCAGCAGUGGGGAAUCUUGCACAAUGGGCGCAAGCCUGAUCCAGCAAUGCCGCGUGUGUGAAGAAGGCCUUCGGGUUGUAAAGCCCUUUUGGUUGGGAGGAAAGCCUUGGUGUUAAUACCGCCUGGGGAUGAGAGUACCAAAAGAAUCAGCACCGGCUAACUACGUGCCAGCCGCCGCAGUAAGAC
rnacentral:rRNA from 1 species